AGGAUGAACGCUGGCGGUCUGCUUAACACAUGCAAGUCGAACGGAGUAGCAAUACUUAGUGGCGGACGGGUGAGUAACGCGUGAGAAUCUACCUUCAGGACGGAGACAACAGUUGGAAACGACUGCUAACCCCCGAUGUACCGAAAGGGCAAAUAUUUAUAGCCUGAAGAAGAGCUCGCGUCCGAUUAGCUAGUUGGAGAGGUAAAAGCUCACCAAGGCGACGAUCGGUAGCUGGUCUGAGAGGACGAUCAGCCACACUGGGACUGAGACACGGCCCAGACUCCUACGGGAGGCAGCAGUGGGAAUUUCCGCAAUGGGCGAAAGCCUGACGGAGCAAGACCGCGUGGGGGAAGAAGGCUCUUGGGUUGUAAACCCCUUUUCUCUGGGAAGAACGCAAUGACGGUACCAGAGGAAUCAGCAUCGGCUAACUCCGUGCCAGCAGCCGC
rnacentral:rRNA from 1 species